rnacentral:rRNA from 1 species
UACGUAGGGUGCGAGCGUUGUCCGGAAUUAUUGGGCGUAAAGGGCUCGUAGGCGGUUUGUCGCGUCGGGAGUGAAAUCCACUGGCUUAACUGGUGGCUUGCUUUCGAUACGGGCAGACUGGAGGUAUGCAGGGGAGAACGGAAUUCCUGGUGUAGCGGUGAAAUGCGCAGAUAUCAGGAGGAACACCGGUGGCGAAGGCGGUUCUCUGGGCCGAUACUGACGCUGAGGAGCGAAAGCGUGGGUAGCAAACAGG